GUUUGAUCCUGGCUCAGAAUCAACGCUGGCGGCGUGCCUAACACAUGCAAGUCGAACGAGAAAGUGGAGCAAUCCAUGAGUAAAGUGGCGCACGGGUGAGUAACACGUGACUAACCUACCCUUGAGUGGGGGAUAACCUAGGGAAACCUGGGCUAAUACCGCAUAAUACCGAGAGGUCAAAGGAGCAAUUCGCUUAAGGAGGGGGUCGCGGCCGAUUAGUUAGUUGGCGGGGUAAUGGCCCACCAAGACUGUGAUCGGUAUCCGGCCUGAGAGGGCGCACGGACACACUGGAACUGAAACACGGUCCAGACUCCUACGGGAGGCAGCAGUGGGGAAUUUUGCGCAAUGGGGGAAACCCUGACGCAGCAACGCCGCGUGGAGGAUGAAGCCCCUUGGGGCGUAAA
rnacentral:rRNA from 1 species